rnacentral:rRNA from 1 species
AGUGAACGCUGGCGGUAGGCCUAACACAUGCGAGUCGAACGGCAGCACAGUAAGAGCUUGCUCUUACGGGUGGCGAGUGGCGGACGGGUGAGGAAUACAUCGGAAUCUACUUUUUCGUGGGGGAUAACGUAGGGAAACUUACGCUAAUACCGCAUACGACCUACGGGUGAAAGCAGGGGAUCUUCGGACCUUGCGCGAUUGAAUGAGCCGAUGUCGGAUUAGCUAGUUGGCGGGGUAAAGGCCCACCAAGGCGACGAUCCGUAGCUGGUCUGAGAGGAUGAUCAGCCACACUGGAACUGAGACACGGUCCAGACUCCUACGGGAGGCAGCAGUGGGGAAUAUUGGACAAUGGGCGCAAGCCUGAUCCAGCCAUACCGCGUGGGUGAAGAAGGCCUUCGGGUUGUAAAGCCCUUUUGUAGGGAAAGAAAAGCAGCAGGUUAAUACCCCGCUGUUCUGACGGUACCCAAAGAAUAAGCACCGGCUAACUUCGUG